rnacentral:rRNA from 1 species
UACGGAGGGUGCAAGCGUUAUCCGGAUUCACUGGGUUUAAAGGGUGCGUAGGUGGGCAGUUAAGUCAGUGGUGAAAUCUCCGGGCUCAACCCGGAAACUGCCGUUGAUACUAUCUGUCUUGAAUAUCGUGGAGGUAAGCGGAAUAUGUCAUGUAGCGGUGAAAUGCUUAGAUAUGACAUAGAACACCCAUUGCGAAGGCAGCUUACUACACGAUCAUUGACGCUGAGGCACGAAAGCGUGGGGAGCAAACAGG